AGCGAACGCUGGCGGCAGGCUUAACACAUGCAAGUCGAGCGGGCCCUUCGGGGUCAGCGGCAGACGGGUGAGUAACACGUGGGAACGUACCCUUUGGUUCGGAAUAACGCUGGGAAACUAGCGCUAAUACCGGAUACGCCCUUUUGGGGAAAGGCUUGCUGCCGAAGGAUCGGCCCGCGUCUGAUUAGCUAGUUGGUGGGGUAAUGGCCUACCAAGGCGACGAUCAGUAGCUGGUCUGAGAGGAUGAUCAGCCACACUGGGACUGAGACACGGCCCAGACUCCUACGGGAAGCAGCAGUGGGGAAUAUUGGACAAUGGGCGCAAGCCUGAUCCAGCCAGGCCGCGUGAGUGAUGAAGGCCUUAGGGUUGUAAAGCUCUUUUGUCCGGGACGAUAAUGACGGUACCGGAAGAAUAAGCCCCGGCUAACUUCGUG
rnacentral:rRNA from 1 species